UGAUUCAGUGAGCCAGCAGAGGCCCGAAGCUUCUCAGUCAACACCAAUGGAAGCAGCUAAACCUCAAGACAAUCCUACUGUGAAGAAACACGAAGCUAAACCUCAAGACAUUCCUACUGCGAAGAAACAGGAAGCUAAACCUCAAGACAUUCCUUCUGCGAAGAAACAGGAAGCUAAACCUCAAGACAUUCCUACGGCCACGAAACAGGAAGCUAAACCUCAAGACAUUCCUACUGUGAAGAAACAGGAAGCUAAACCUCAAGACAUUCCUACUACACUUCAGCCAUCCGAUAAACUCGAUUCGGUAAGCCAGAAGCUGCCGCAACCUUCUCAGUCAUCCCCGAUGGAAGCAUUCAGUCAAGUUCAAGAGAUCUUUAGCCAUGCAGCCUCACCGGUGCAGUAUCCAGAU
rnacentral:lncRNA from 1 species